rnacentral:rRNA from 1 species
AGCCUCCCCCCGCGGACGACGGMGACAAGUYUCCCUGACAGGAGCUCUUGCCCAGAGAGGGUGCGAGGCCCAUAGKCSCCGWGACGUCGCUCGGGUGGCGAACUCCCCARAGUCGGGUKGCUKGGGAGUGCAGCCCAAAGAGGGUGGUAAACUCCACCUAAGGCUAAAUACGGCCGCGAGACCGAUAGSGAACAAGUACCGKGAGGGAAAGUUGCAAAGAACUUUGAAGAGAGAGUUCAAGAGUACGUGAAACUGCUCAGGGGCAAACGGGUGGGCCCUCGAAGUCCCCGGGAGAGGGAUUCAGCCUCUUUACGGUACGACGCCGCAACCGACGGACUCCUCGAGGAGCCGCGGCGGCGGAGAGUCGGACUGUGAAGGGACGCACUUUCCUCUCCCAUCGAGGACGCCGCAGCCGGUGGGACGUCGGCGGUGAGGAACCUACGCGGAGGUGGCGUGGACCGCGGCCGAAGAGCCGAGAGUCCCGUGUCUGCCGCGCCGGGGAAUCCGCGCGCGAUGUCCGACCGAGGGUAAUUAGAAAUAAUGUGGCCGCCGCCUANCAAGCGGGACCCCGAGUCAGGGAAGGCGAGCGUCGGCGAGUCACCGAGCGGUGUCCGUCKWYGYCUCGCUGCCCGGUGGGCCGGGUCGACCCGCGGCGCGCGAGUCACGGCUUGCGGCGAGUAGGUCGGUAACCCACCCGACCCGUCUUGAAACACGGACCAAGGAGUCUAACAUGUGCGCGAGUCAGUGGGACUCGAACAAGCCCACGGGCAGAACGAAAGUGAGAACCGUCGGGAUCUAUCUUCGCAAGGAGAUGGCGCACCGACAGCCUGGCGCGACCCACUACGUGGAAUGGGCCGGAGCCGGAGCGCACACGUUGGGACCCGAAAGAUGGUGAACUAUGCCCGGGCAGGUCGAAGCUA